UCACAUGCAGAAUUCACAGGAAAGGUUUCAUUGACAAUUUUAAUCUGUAUUGGGAACAUGGCUCUCUGUUUAGCAGGGAUGGGAUUCAUCCAAGUGCAUGUGGCAGCCAAAUGCUAUGUGAUAACAUGCGCAAUGCUCUGCAGA